rnacentral:rRNA from 1 species
AGUGAACGCUGGCGGUAGGCCUAACACAUGCAAGUCGAACGGCAGCACAGUAAGAGCUUGCUCUUACGGGUGGCGAGUGGCGGACGGGCGAGGAAUACAUCGGAAUCUACUUUUUCGUGGGGGAUAACGUAGGGAAACUUACGCUAAUACCGCAUACGACCUACGGGUGAAAGCAGGGGAUCUUCGGACCUUGCGCGAUUGAAUGAGCCGAUGUCGGAUUAGCUAGUUGGCGGGGUAAAGGCCCACCAAGGCGACGAUCCGUAGCUGGUCUGAGAGGAUGAUCAGCCACACUGGAACUGAGACACGGUCCAGACUCCUACGGGAGGCAGCAGUGGGGAAUAUUGGGCAAUGGGCGCAAGCCUGAUCCAGCCAUACCGCGUGGGUGAAGAAGGCCUUCGGGUUGUAAAGCCCUUUUGUUGGGAAAGAAAAGCAGCAGGUUAAUACCCCGCUGUUCUGACGGUACCCAAAGAAUAAGCACCGGCUAACUUCGUG